AUUGAACGCUGGCGGCAGGCCUAACACAUGCAAGUCGAGCGAGCGGCGGACGGGUGAGUAAUGUCUGGGAAACUGCCUGAUGGAGGGGGAUAACUACUGGAAACGGUAGCUAAUACCGCAUACCAUCAGAUGUGCCCAGAUGGGAUUAGCUAGUAGGUGGGGUAAUGGCUCACCUAGGCGACGAUCCCUAGCUGGUCUGAGAGGAUGACCAGCCAUACGGGAACUGUGACACGGUCCAGACUCUUACGGGUGGAACCAGUGGGGAAUAUUGCACAAUGGGCGCAAGCCUGAUGCAGCCAUGCCGCGUGUGUGAAGAAGGCCUUCGGGUUGUAAAGCACUUUCAGCGGGGAGGCGUUACCCGCAGAAGAAGCACCGGCUAACUCCGUGCCAGCAGCCGCGGUAAUUC
rnacentral:rRNA from 1 species